AAAGAGUGGGUUAACGGGCCGAAUCGGGUUCGGAUCCGAAACCCGUUAAGCCCAAUAAUAAGAAAUUGGUUUAGCCAAUUGAAGCUGAACCCGAGCCCAAUCAAAUUGGGCUAAGUCUGGACAAGCCCGAUUUAAACCAGGUCCGAACCCAAUUAAGCUGAGUUGGUCUCAGCAGACCUAAUUGAUUGUGAAUCAGGCCCAAUUCAUGCCCAAUUCAACUGACAGAAG
rnacentral:lncRNA from 1 species